CGUGGCACACUUCCUUCAGACGUAAUAACAGCUAUUCAGCUGCAUAAUUGACCUAACAAAGAGCAUUCAUUCUGGCUGCCAGCCAGCUAUUGGCUAGAGCUGUGGGCCCUCCUCACCCACAUGUAGGCUGGAGCCCUCCUGGUCUGCCCUGGGAAGUGACCUGGCUUGUCCUGUCCCCUGAGGUCUCCUGAUAAAAUCCAUGCAUGUGCAGCUGAGCCCAGGCAGGGCAUGCUGCAGACACACGCUGAGGGGCUCAGAACCCAGAAGGCCACACUUGAUUUUCCUGGACUUUCUCAACUUGGCCCACAGCUGGGAAGAACUUCCCUGCAUCUCGAAGCCAGCCAGAGAGAUGUGAAACACAGGCAGGCAUAUAUGUCUGAUAUGCCAAGAAAGAAGGCAGCGACAGAAGACCACAAGCUGUGCUGAUAAGGAACCAGAAGAAUAAAGGGCUAGAGAGACCUACAAAUGAGUUUACUUCUCCUAACAGGAAGCCGUGCGCAACAAUAGCCAAAGGAUCUUUGCUGUAACCAAAAGAUUGUAUUACAAGAAAAUUAAGCCAAAUUGCAAAUGUCUUAGGCAAGAGGAGAGCCCAUGUUCUCACCCACAUCCUUCCUCUGAAGAAUUCGAACUCUGUGGCCCACCUGCCUGCUGUGGGCAAGAUCUCACCACCAGAAGUGAGCCCCCAGGGGCCACAUUGUUCUCGGCCAGCUUUGAAGAUGAGGAUCCUCUGGGUAUGCCUGAAAGCUCAGAUCCCAGAAGACCCAAAACUCCCCGAAAUGCUUAUCUGCAACAAGCAGCUUCACCUCUCUGAGCUCAUUUCUUCACCUGAAAAAUGCAGAAUGAAUAACUCUUUCUUCCCAGACACAAAUCUGUGGUUUGAUGGCACUUGGGAAUUUUCACAUCAAGGGAAGUUUGGGGGUAAAAAUUAAUGAUUCAGUGACCCCUGAGUUUUUGAUUUCACAGGAAGGAAUACGGAAUAUAAGAUUGUCAAUAUAGUCACACCCCUGAUCCACAGUUAAACUUUCUGACAUUUCAUUUUCCCUCAGUCAGGCAUGGUCUGAAAACUUUACAUGGAAAAUUCCACAAAUAAGUGAUUCAUACAUUCUAUACAACCCUUAUUACAUUACAUUGUUAUAAUUGUUUUACAUUAUUAUUAGUUGCUGUUAACCUCUUCCUGUGCCUAAUUUAUAAAUGAAUCUUUAUCAUAGAUAUGAAUAUAGGAAAAAAACGUGUUAUAUAGGGUCCACAGGGUCUAUCCACAGUUUCAGGCAUUUCUGCAAGGCUUGGAAUGCAUCUCCAAGAAUAAGAACUGUGGCAUCCUGCAGGGAUGAGUGGACUCUAGCCACAACCAGGACCUGACCAGAGGCACAGCCACCCCACUGACCCCUUGGUGACAUUGGAAGAUCCCACGCC
ensembl:lncRNA